GGCAACCUGCUCAGUUUCUCUCUGCAGUGUGGAAGGUUUGUUCUUUUGCUGUUUGCGGUAAAUCUUGCUGCUGCUCACUGUUUUGGUUUGCAUUCCCUUUAUGAGCUGUGACACUCACCGCAAAGGUCUGCAGUUUCACUCCUGAGGCCAGUGCGACCACGAACCCACAGGGAGGAAUGAACAACUCCCGACAGGAGGAAUGAACAAUUCCAGACGCGCGCCGCCUUAAGAGCUGUAACACUCACCACGAAAGUCUGCAGCUUCACUCCUGAAGCUAGCAAGACCACGAACCCACUAGAAGGAAAAAACUCUGAACGCGUCUGAACAUCAGAAGGAGAAAACUUCGGACACACCGUCUUUAAGAACUGGAACACUUAUACCAUGAGGGUCUGCGGCUUCAUUCUUGAGCCAUUCAACAUAGUGCAUCAGAAGUGAUCUUUCAACACAUCCAGUACAUGAAUAAAUGAAAAACGCAAGUUACAAAACAUUACAGAGGUAAAAUCAUAAAUAUAGUCCCUGAAUUUCAUGGCCACCUGACCUUCACAUGAAGCUCAUAUUAAAGCCAUCUAUAGAGCAUGUUUUCCUGAAAACUUGACAAUAUUCACAUUUGAGAAAGAGUGAAAAUUUCCUCUAUGUGGAAUUGGAGAUGCCUCUGCAAAGGUGAUUGUCUCGAAGCCACCAUGGGUACAUUUGAUCUAUAUUUUACAAGUUCCAUAAGACUCCAUCCCACACAAGACAGUGAAUCUAAGUGUCACAGAAGACUGAAUUUCCUCAGUAUUUCACAGUUACCAAAACACCUGUGCUAAAUAGUUUUCUGUGUAUCAGCUGUGAAAACUCACUGUUCAAUAGCCCUCCAAAUUUCUCAUUUAUUCCUGGUGGGGGGGAGUCCUGGGGGGGCUCACAAUGCGUUAUUGUUAAACUCUAGGAAGGGUAGUGGUUCAAGAGCAUCAUUAAUGGAGUAAAAAGGAAAAAAGUACCAGCAAAUUUCACCUAUACUCCUUAUAGACCUUCGCUUCUACCUCUUCUGAGAUGCUGCCUUAUCUGCAAAUUAAUUAAGCAGAAACUAGAUGGGCACAAAUACCACAACAUUCUGAAGCUUAAUUAGCAAAUGCUUUUUAACUUCACAACAGGUCUUAGCCUUGUUGGUUACUUUGUUUCUUAAAAGAGCAGAAAAGCAAGCUGUAUUAUUCUUUGCUUCCUUUCAGAGAGGAAACAAGCAUGGAAAUUUAAAAAUAGAUCAAGGGAUGCUCAGAGGGCAGCUCCCUAGCAACCAGGCUGCAUUGCUGGUAUGCUAACUUGAGUGGCCUGCAUUCUGCCAGGAAUGUCGGCAAGCCACUCCCACCGAUAGCAAAGACAAGACAUGGAGGGAACUGGUCGGAUACAGCCAUGGAGGGGACACAGACAGGUGACUGCAAGAGCCACAGAUUCUCACCCAGCCCCUUCAGUCCCACCCAUGGGAAGGCCAGUAACUGUGUUCAGCAGUUUUCUCAAUUGCAACCCCCCAGUGAGGCCGUUAGCCCAUCCCCUGGGGCAAUAACACAGGAUGAAGGUAGGGAGAACUCUUGGUCAUCAUCAAAGACCCUUGAAGAGAGAAAUUAUUUCCAAAAUGUUUGCUGUCUGAUAGUUAAAAAUCGUGGCUCUGUCUUUCCCUUAUUAAAUAACACAGGAGAAAAAUGAAAAGAUGGAAUGUUUAUUGAUAGUCUUUGUGCCUGGUGCCAUGGAGCUUGUUUUUGAGGCUCUGAUGAUAAGAAAAGAAAAAAAAUAAUAAUCCUGCGUGUCAUAUAGCUGCAAAGUACAGGCACCCUGGUGUACACUGUGAAAAUAUCAUAGAAAAAAUAUGACAUCAUAUUGUCUGCCUACGAUGAUACAAUUUCUUAUUAAAAUAAAAAGAGGAAAGUGUGGAGACUAACAAUGCAUUUCCUUUUUUCACUCAGACUUCACACAGGGAAAGUUACCUGGAUGUUCAAGAUGUUAAAACAUGGCCUUGUGUCAAAAGUGAAAUAAUUAAAUAUUCAGUAUCAGCCCAUUAACCAGAUGGGCUCUCCCCACCCCUAAUGCCUUUUUAGUUCUUUGGCUUGCUUGUCCAAGAUGGCUUCUGAAGAAAAAUGCCAAGAAAAUUACUUUUAUGGAAAAUAUUUCUUCUUCCUCCCCUCCCUUCCUCUCUCCCUCAAUUCCUCCCUCCCUUCCUUUCUUCCUUCCUUCCUGCUUUUCUUCUAAGACAGCAUUCUCAAAUGGGCAGCCAUGCACUACUUCAUGUAAAGACAAAUCUUUUCCAUUCUUUGAUUUCUUUAAAAUAGUAAAAUAUAUGGCAAUAACAAAGCAUAUAAAAGAAUAUAAUAAACUUUUAUGUUUUUAUCACUCAAUUUACAAAGAUGAAACUUUACAACUCCUAUUGAAGUGCAUGUUUUUAUCUCCUAACUACCUUCCUUUUCCAUACACUUAGAGGUAACCAUUAUCCUGAAAUUUAUGUAUAUCAUUCCCAAACUUUUC
rnacentral:lncRNA from 1 species